CGGUGGGGUGGGGUGGGGUGGGGCGGGGGACACCCAUCCUUCUCGCACUGAUCUUCUCAGGCCUGACGUUCCCAGUUGACCAGAUCAAAGUUCCUUCUUCUACCAACUGCAUCACCUAUACUUGUCUCUCAGGCCCAAGGCACUCCUGUCCUUGGGUGCAGGUCAACAGUAGAUGCAGGGCACUCACAUGCCCACUGCAAACAGUGAUGAUGAUGUCAACUGAGAUUGGACAAUUGGGAAAAAGGGCAGGGCCUGAGACCAACUAGCAGAGGAGAGUGUGCACUGAGGUGCAUGCAGGACCAUGUGUCACCUUGCCAUCAUCCCAGGAGACCUGGCCAGCCUUAUCACUUUGUAGGCAUUUGAGAUUCAUGGGUUCUACAGCACACACCCGCACAGAGCCCCCAGUCCUAGCUGUCCCAGGAAAUGUGCCACUGACCUGGGCAAAGGAGCAGAGGGCAGGUGAGGUUGGAAAGAAGACAAUACCUCAGAAUGAGCGGGACUGAGUUGCCUGCUCAUGCUGGAGGUUUGGGAGGAUGGGCACGGGGACAAUGCCACUGAUUUUCACGUCAGUGCUAGGUCCUAGGUCAUGAGUUGGACAUCACUAGUGGGCAGUGGAGGAAAACCAGCUCUUUGCAGAAGUCUCUGUCCAUAUCUGCAGCUUCCUGAUCUCCAGCUCAGGCCACGGCCACCUGCCUGUGGAUGGCUGAAGCCAUCGACUCUCUGGGGUGGGUUCUGCCCGUGGGAUGCUGUCUUCCUCCACAGGAGCUGUUCAAGAAUGUGGUGCCCUGGGACUGCCUGGGCUCCAUCUGGACCCGGAGAAACAAAAGGGGCAAAGAACCUCUGGCGCCCACCGUUCGGGCCACUAUCACAUAUUUUAAUCAGGGGAGCGAGGAGCUUCCGCGGCGCAGAAGCCCAGCAGAGGCGGCCCCCCUAC
rnacentral:lncRNA from 1 species